rnacentral:rRNA from 1 species
CAGUCGCCGCGGGAAUACAGAGGGUGCGAGCGUUAAUCGGAUUUACUGGGCGUAAAGCGUGCGUAGGCGGCUUCUUAAGUCGGAUGUGAAAUCCCUGAGCUUAACUUAGGAAUUGCAUUCGAUACUGGGAAGCUAGAGUAUGGGAGAGGAUGGUAGAAUUCCAGGUGUAGCGGUGAAAUGCGUAGAGAUCUGGAGGAAUACCGAUGGCGAAGGCAGCCAUCUGGCCUAAUACUGACGCUGAGGUACGAAAGCAUAGGGAGCAAACAGGAUUAGAUACCCCAGUAGUCCCUGUCUCUUAUAA